UACGUAGGUGGCAAGCGUUGUCCGGAAUUAUUGGGCGUAAAGCGCGCGCAGGCGGUCCUUUAAGUCUGAUGUGAAAGCCCACGGCUCAACCGUGGAGGGUCAUUGGAAACUGGGGGACUUGAGUACAGAAGAGAAGAGUGGAAUUCCACGUGUAGCGGUGAAAUGCGUAGAGAUGUGGAGGAACACCAGUGGCGAAGGCGACUGUCUGGGCCAGUUCUGACGCUGAGGCGCGAAAGCGUGGGGAGCAAACAGG
rnacentral:rRNA from 1 species